rnacentral:rRNA from 1 species
GCCAGACUCCUACGGGAGGCAGCAGUGGGGGAUAUUGCACAAUGGGGGGAACCCUGAUGCAGCGAUGCCGCGUGGAGGAAGAAGGUUUUCGGAUUGUAAACUCCUUUUAUCAGGGACGAUAAUGACGGUACCUGAAGAAAAAGCUCCGGCUAACUACGUGCCAGCAGCCGCGGUAAUACGUAGGGAGCGAGCGUUAUCCGGAUUUACUGGGUGUAAAGGGAGCGUAGACGGCAAUGCAAGUCUGGAGUGAAAGCCCAAGGCCCAACCAUGGGACUGCUCUGGAAACUGUGUAGCUUGAGUGCAGGAGGGGUAAGCGGAAUUCCUAGUGUAGCGGUGAAAUGCGUAGAUAUUAGGAGGAACACCGGUGGCGAAGGCGGCUUACUGGACUGCAACUGACGUUGAGGCUCGAAGGCGUGGGGAGCAAACAGGAUUAGAUACCCGAGUA